AGAGAGAGAGAAAAUGAAUAACGUCAAGAGAAACCUGUGGUUACAAGAUUCUAGGCCCAAAUCUGUUGAUCCUAACCGUUACCUUCUACGUGCGUAUGAUUCCGAGCCACAAGUUAAGAUUCAUUGCCCGUACAGAAGAGAGUUUGGCCUUCACCCUGAACUUCGGACAAAAUGACAUGAAAUUAUCAUAUUUAGGCAACAAUGAAGAAAAUCCAGUGAUCACCAAAGCGCCACACAUUCAGAGCAUGCAGGCUACUGCAUGCAGAUCUAGCCAGAGCGCGUAAUCAAACGUUAUUUAUUAUUGGGAUUGCACCAGGUGUUCAAUCGUUAUUGAUAUAUGAUAACCGAUAAACUAUGUGUUUCAGCCAUCUUUGUUUUGACUGGACAAAAAGAGAUAUCAGUGACAAAAAAUGAUAUCAGUGACGAUAUCGUUUUUAUAUGUCACCCUGUUAUCGUUUUUGCGUCUACUGAUUUUUAAUCAGUAGAAGCAUUGUCAGGACCAAAGGUCCGUGUAUGUCGGGGAAAGGCACAUUUGAUGACGUAUCGAUGUAAUGCAUUGCGAGCAUAGGAUUGCGAGCGAAAGUCGGU